rnacentral:ncRNA from 1 species
GUUAAACCGUUGAACAGGACGAGUAAGUAUGGCUGUUAUUUUCAGAGAGCUGUUGGCUGGUGUGAAACAGCAAUGACGAAAUACCGAAUGGACCUGCGAGGGCAGCCUGAAAGGAUCAUUCCGAGUAGGUGCUGACGGGAACCUGAACCGUUAUCAGCCAGGCAGAUAUGUUGAUCGUAACGAUACAAAGUAUCUGAAAGAGUGGGUAAACGAACCGAAAGGUCACGCACCAAUAUGGGUGGUACCGCAGAAGCUGUGAAUGUACAAUGAUAGUAAAUUCAAAGCCUUUGUCCCAGUU